rnacentral:rRNA from 1 species
GACGAACGCUGGCGGCGUGCUUAACACAUGCAAGUCGAACGGAAAGGCCCUGCUUUUGUGGGGUGCUCGAGUGGCGAACGGGUGAGUAACACGUGAGUAACCUGCCCUUGACUUUGGGAUAACUCCAGGAAACUGGGGCUAAUACCGGAUAGGAGCUCCUGCUGCAUGGUGGGGGUUGGAAAGUUUCGGCGGUUGGGGCUGGACUCGCGGCUUAUCAGCUUGUUGGUGGGGUAGUGGCUUACCAAGGCUUUGACGGGUAGCCGGCCUGAGAGGGUGACCGGCCACAUUGGGACUGCGAUACGGCCCAGACUCCUACGGGAGGCAGCAGUGGGGAAUAUUGCACAAUGGGCGGAAGCCUGAUGCAGCAACGCCGCGUGCGGGAUGACGGCCUUCGGGUUGUAAACCGCUUUCGCCUGUGACGAAGCGUGAGUGACGGUAAUGGGUAAAGAAGCACCGGCUAACUACGUG